rnacentral:rRNA from 1 species
UACAGAGGUCUCAAGCGUUGUUCGGAUUCAUUGGGCGUAAAGCGCGUGUAGGCGGCCCGGUAAGUCCGCUGUAAAAGUCCAGGGCUCAACCCUGGAAGGCCGGUGGAUACUGUCGGGCUCGAGUCCGGAAGAGGCGAGUGGAAUUCCUGGUGUAGCGGUGAAAUGCGCAGAUAUCAGGAGGAACACCAAUGGCGAAGGCAGCUCGCUGGGACGGUACUGACGCUGAGACGCGAAAGCGUGGGGAGCAAACAGG